CACGCAUGUUCCAUGUUUUGUAUAUCUGAAUGUAUAUUUAAUCUUAAGUUUGUGAUGAAACUUAAAAUUAGGUAUCAUCAUUAAUUAUGAAUUUUGAUUUCUUUUGCAAUUAUAAACAUUAUAUCGUAAACCAAUACAUUCAAGCAUACCGACAUGCAUAUACAUAAGACAUUAUGCGUCUAACUUCAUUAGAUUUCAUAU
rnacentral:lncRNA from 1 species